rnacentral:rRNA from 1 species
UGCGUAGGCGGUUUGGAAAGUCAGAUGUGAAAGCCUACAGCUUAACUGUAGAACUGCAUUUGAAACUUCCAGACUAGAAUACUGAAGGGGCAGAUGGAAUUAGUGGUGUAGGGGUAAAAUCCGUAGAUAUCACUAGGAAUACCGAAAGCGAAAGCGAUCUGCUGGGAAGUUAUUGACGCUGAGGCACGAAAGCGUGGGGAGCAAACG